ACAUCCAGAGAAUUUAGCAGAGAUGCUUUUAGUGCCUUCGGGAACUCUGAGACAGGUGCUGCAUGGCUGUCGUCAGCUCGUGUUGUGAAAUGUUGGGUUAAGUCCCGCAACGAGCGCAACCCUUAUCCUUUGUUGCCAGCACGUAAUGGUGGGAACUCAAAGGAGACUGCCGGUGAUAAACCGGAGGAAGGUGGGGAUGACGUCAAGUCAUCAUGGCCCUUACGAGUAGGGCUACACACGUGCUACAAUGGCGCAUACAAAGAGAAGCGACCUCGCGAGAGCAAGCGGACCUCAUAAAGUGCGUCGUAGUCCGGAUUGGAGUCUGCAACUCGACUCCAUGAAGUCGGAAUCGCUAGUAAUCGUAAAUCAGAAUGUUACGGUGAAUACGUUCCCGGGCCUUGUACACACCGCCCGUCACACCAUGGGAGUGGGUUGCAAAAGAAGUAGAUAGCUUAACCUUCGGGAGGGCGUUUACCACUUUGUGAUUCAUGACUGGGGUGAAGUCGUAACAAGGUAGGCGUAGUGCU
rnacentral:rRNA from 1 species